UAGGGAAUAUUGGGCAAUGGGCGCAAGCCUGACCCAGCAACGCCGCGUGAGGGAAGAAGGUUUUCGGAUUGUAAACCUCUGUCCUAUGUGACGAAGGAAGUGACGGUAAUCUGUGAGGAAGCCCCGGCUAACUACGUGCCAGCAGCCGCGGUAAUACGUAGGGGGCGAGCGUUGUCCGGAAUUACUGGGCGUAAAGGGUGCGUAGGCGGUUGAUUAAGUUGGAUGUGAAAUACCCGGGCUUAACUUGGGGGGUGCAUUCAAAACUGGUUAACUAGAGUACAGGAGAGGGAAGCGGAAUUCCUAGUGUAGCGGUGAAAUGCGUAGAUAUUAGGAGGAACACCGGUGGCGAAGGCGGCUUUCUGGACUGACACUGACGCUGAGGCACGAAAGCGUGGGGAGCAAACAGGAUUAGAUACCCUGGUAGU
rnacentral:rRNA from 1 species